AACGAACGCUGGCGGCAGGCCUAACACAUGCAAGUCGAGCGAAGCCUUCGGGCUUAGCGGCGGACGGGUGAGUAACGCGUGGGAACGUGCCCUUUGGUACGGAAUAGCCUCGGGAAACUGGGAGUAAUACCGUAUGUGGUCGAGAGACGAAAGAUUUAUCGCCAAAGGAUCGGCCCGCGUUGGAUUAGGUAGUUGGUGGGGUAAUGGCCUACCAAGCCGACGAUCCAUAGCUGGUUUGAGAGGAUGAUCAGCCGCACUGGGACUGAGACACGGCCCAGACUCCUACGGGAGGCAGCAGUGGGGAAUCUUAGACAAUGGGGGAAACCCUGAUCUAGCCAUGCCGCGUGAUCGAUGAAGGCCUUAGGGUUGUAAAGAUCUUUCAGUGGGGAAGAUAAUGACUGUACCCACAGAAGAAGCCCCGGCUAACUCCGUGCCAGCCGCCGCGGUAA
rnacentral:rRNA from 1 species